rnacentral:lncRNA from 1 species
UAUCAAAUCCAUUGAUAAAACUAGACCACUUUCAAAAUUAUUGUACAUCAAAACUAGAAUCACUAACCAAAUAUAAUCCCAGAGUGAGGCUACUAUGCUAUCGGAAGCAUGGAGUCUUCCGUGCUUCCAGCUCGUUUUCGAUGUUGCGACUUUCAAAUCGUCGAUCGGCUUCGUUAAACUUGAUCUAGAGUAUUUGGAGUACCUAGAAAAUAAAUUUUAUUAUUUUUCGAUAUCAUUUUCCUAGUGAUCGAAUGGCUCAAAAUCAACAAAUUUCAAUGGCCGUAGUGAGCCGUUUGCAAGUUUAACGGUGCUGAAAUAUCCAAAUCAUGUGAAAUUUUGAUAGAAAAUUCUUUAUACUAUAUAAAACAAGAUCAAUAUCUUUGAUUUAAAAUUUUAAUGUCAUAUUAUUACAUUUUGUAAAAUUUUUAUUUUCAGCCGUUGAUUUUGAGCCCCUUCGUUCACUAAAAAAAUGAUAUCGUAAAAUCAUAAAAUUUAUUUUCUAUGUACUUCAAAUACUCUAAAUCAAGUUUAACGGAGCCGAUGGACGAUUCGAAAGUCGCAACAUCGAAAACGAGCUAGAAGCACGGAAGGCUCCGUGCUUCCGAUAGCAUAGUAGCCUCACUCCAU